AUGAAAAGAGACUGGAUUGAGAUUUCAUACCAGACACAGUUCAGCAGCAGACCUUCAAAAGUGCUUGAAAAAUACCUUUUAAUUAUAUUGUUUUCAUUUGAUUCACUUGGAUCUAUUGUAUCUGCUACUUGUGUUUCUGCUGAAAUAAAGCUGCAAGAAUCAGAUCCUGUAACUGUACUGCCAGGACAGUCACACCGGUUAUCGUGUAAAGCCUCUGGGUUCACAUUUAGUGACAUCUACAUGAACUGGAUUCGUCAGCCUCCUGGUAAAGGACUGGAAUGGGUGGCAACAAUAAGACCUGAUGCUAGCAAGACGUGGUAUGCAACAUCUGUUGAGGGACGAUUUACCAUCAGCAGGGAUAAUUCCAACAACAUGCUGUACUUACAAAUGAACAGUCUGCAGACUUCAGAUAUGGCCGUGUAUUACUGUGCUAAAUAA